CCUGACUGUCCCCCUCACCAGGCUCUGGGGAGGAAAAGGAGCCCAUGGCAGACCAGACACCUGACCGGCCAGGGUCCCCUGGCCUGCAAGGAAGACGUUCAUGGGUGAGUGUGUGGUGGUGGAUGAACUGUAGCAGAACCCGAGAUUGACAGCUGGAACCCUCUCCUCUUGCAGGUCUGGGUGAAAAGCGUGGGACCCUCAGCCCAGAGCCGCACAAGACUUGGAUUUGCUUUGGAAACCACUGUGAUUUUCAACAAGAUCGUCAAGAUCGGUCAAAUGGCCUGGGUGGAGACGGGGAGCUGGGGAGUUGGGGAUGGAAGCCGUUUUUAAGCCAAGAGGAAUCCAAACCACACACAGUAGUCCCCUUCGCCACCACCCUCCCCCCGCCCCCUGCCAUGAGGUCCAUGGCUGUGUCCUCAUUUCACAGAUGAGGAGACAGGCACAGAGCAGCAGGCAUGGCCAUGUGGCCGGUCACGGUCACGCAGUAGAGGGAGGCCUGGGGGCCGGAGAGGGGCGCCUAAGGCCACACAGCAGGGCUGCACCAGUGCGCAUGGCUGAGAGGCAGGUUCCAGGAGUUUCUGUGAGUUAUUGCUCAACAUCAAGAAAACGCUGUUCUAUGAGAGGAACUUCACCAGGAUCCACGGGGGAAGUGGAAGCGGUCUUGUGAUAGGAGUUUCAAAGGCCUGUGCUCUGGCAAAUAGGAAAAAACAGGCUGAGAAAACAUAUCAGGCAGGCCUGCUUGUGAGGGAACCUGGCAGACAUCCAACCAGCAGUCUGGUGGCCAAUCCGGUUAUCAGACAUGCCCUUAAUCCAUCAUUCCGCAGCGGGCAGGUCACUGGCCACACAGGCUUCAGGCCUCCUGGCUUGAGGGAACUUGGGGUUGCCAUCAGGCCCGUAUGAAUCAGAAAUUCUGGGCUGCUCACCCCCCCCCAGGCACCCCCACACUGUCCCUCCUCUGCGAGUUUGCCUCUCCAUUCUCUUUACCUUCACUGUCUCUGUUACCUGUGGUCUCAGUGAUGCUCAACAAACCACCAAGUCCAGUGGCUU